rnacentral:rRNA from 1 species
AUGAAAGCAAAUGCAGCAACCGUGCUACUCCUUGUCCUCCUUGUAUGCCACGCGUUAGCCGCAGAAUGUGGUAAGGUGCGGGGAUCAGGCGGCCGUCAUCAGGAUUUCAGGAUCCGAGGCCACGGCGGCGCCGGCGAGGUCAGCGUUGACGUGUGCCGGCCAAACUUUUGCGGAGGUGGUUCUCAAGGCGAUAACUGCUGGUGCUGUGAACUACUGGGGUCUUGCAGCUAUGGGUCGCUGCAGGAUUGCCUCGCGAACUGCCCCUCAUCCCCAUAA